rnacentral:rRNA from 1 species
GAUGAACGCUGGCGGCGUGCCUAAUACAUGCAAGUCGAGCGAACAGACGAGGAGCUUGCUCCUCUGACGUUAGCGGCGGACGGGUGAGUAACACGUGGAUAACCUACCUAUAAGACUGGGAUAACUUCGGGAAACCGGAGCUAAUACCGGAUAAUAUAUUGAACCGCAUGGUUCAAUAGUGAAAGACGGUUUUGCUGUCACUUAUAGAUGGAUCCGCGCCGCAUUAGCUAGUUGGUAAGGUAACGGCUUACCAAGGCAACGAUGCGUAGCCGAACCGAGAGGGUGAUCGGCCACACUGGAACUGAGACACGGUCCAGACUCCUACGGGAGGCAGCAGUAGGGAAUCUUCCGCAAUGGGCGAAAGCCUGACGGAGCAACGCCGCGUGAGUGAUGAAGGUCUUCGGAUCGUAAAACUCUGUUAUUAGGGAAGAACAAAUGUGUAAGUAACUAUGCACGUCUUGACGGUACCUAAUCAGAAAGCCACGGCUAACUACGUG